rnacentral:lncRNA from 1 species
AAAAAUCCGGCUGAGACGGCCUGGGCCGCUGCCACGCGCGGGCGUUAUUCUCCACCCACCUGCGGCCUGAAGAUGCCUGAGGCCCGGACUCUCAGACCCCUAUUGCCCUUUGGUGCUGGAGGCCCAGCGGCAGCCUGAAGCCCAAGAGAGUGGAGCCUCGCGAAAUGAGGAACCUGGCACAAGAGACAGGAUUUCACCAUGUUGGCCGUGCUGGUCUUGAACUCCUGACCUCAAGUGAUUUGCCUGCUUUGGCCUCCCAAAGUGCUGGGAUUACAGACAUGAGUCACCAUGCCCUGCCUGCAGCUUCUUCUUGAAGUGUUCUGGACUUGGAAGAUUUGUUGAAUUACUAUGAAGUCACAUCUAAAGUUUGAAAGAGAUCGGGUCUCACUAUUUUGCCCACGCUGGUCUUGAACUCCUGUCCUCAAGCAGGAUAUCCUCCUGCCUUGGCCUCCCAAAGUUCUGGGAUUACAGUCUCGCUCUGUCGCCAGGCUGGAGUGCACGCUGGAGCGCGAUCUUGUCUUACUACAACCUCUGCCUCCCAGAUUCAAGCGAUUUUCCUGCCUCAGCCUCCCGAGUAGCUGGG